rnacentral:lncRNA from 1 species
GCGGUAUUAUUUGACAGUCUCUCUGGUCAUGGUUUUUAAUAGUUAUGAAAUCUCAUAUAGGCUAAUAUCAAACUACACUGGAAGCUGUAGGCACGUGGAUUUGAGCUAUCCUAUUGGCCAGUAAGUAGACACUCGAUUUAGCCACAGAUAUCCUGGUCCGCCAGGUAGUUAGUUUGGUUUUUCAGACAAAUAAAAAGGUUCAAAAUGGGAACACUUUGUCUACGCAGGGCUUCUGAAUCAAGUGCACCUACCAUCAACUGCGCGACACGAAUUUUAAAAAAGGAGCGCAAGUCUUUAUCGUUGGCUUUUCUACAAAAAUGUUUGGUGAUCGACUAGGAAUGCUUUCACCGAUUGGUGACCACUGAGCUAUACGUUAGAAUGUAGCAACUGUACUAGGGAGCAUGUAAUGAUAACAAUGACAAUAGUGCUAAUGGAAUAAUAGCUUCAAUUGAAUAGCAUUGUAAUAACAUAGGCCAGUGGUACUCAUUGCGGCUCUCGGUGAUUUUCCUAGUUUCCAUUGACAAUACAUAAAUUAUACAAUUUAAAUUAAAUGUGUUUAAUUAAUGCAGGCCUGAAUCACUUCAUAGGCUAUGUCUGUUGCUCCUUGGACCGCAGAUAGAUGGCAGUAUAGCGCAGCUGUUAAACAGAAAGUUUGCCGAAAUAGAACGCAACUGCUCAGCUGCAUCGACCAACACAUCAGUUUGCUACUAGCUAAUUUUGCAGUCUGGUAGACAUGGAUCGAUUUAUUGUAAAAAAUAAACGUAAAUCUAUUGACAAUGAAAAUUAGGGGGGAAGAGCUGGGGAACAACGUGUCAGCUAUGAACGAGCAACCAUCGGAGAACCAGGAAAAUCAGGAAAAUGGCGGCAGGGAAAUGCGGUUAGCUAACGUGGCUCUGGUGGCUAAGAGAAGAAUAAGGUCGAUUCAAGAAGAAUACAGAAAGUUCCAAGAGAAAUGGACAGACAAGUAUUUUUUUGUACUGCAUAAUGGUACUAGCUCGCAUUGUCUUAUUUGCCAGAAGGCAGUCAAUUGUUUAAAAAAUGCAAGUUUAGAGCGACAUUUCCAGUCACAUCAUGCACACUUUGACAAAACAUCCGCCACCAAGCAACCUCAGAAACAACAAAAUAGCGCAACUCAAAGGACAGCUAAAAGGACAACAACAAAUGACGGACAGAUCUAGCACUGUUGCAGAGAAAAUGACAGAGACAACAUAUGAGAUUGCUUGGGAUACACACGAGAAACAAGAAGGCCUUCACAGAUGUGACCUCAGCUGAAAUGUUGUAUGCUGAUUUCACAAACAAGGAAUCUAUUAAAUCUAUUAAAGCAAAUUAAGGGACUGCAACUCUCAGACUCGACCAUAACAAGACGCAUAGAAGACAACACAUCAGUGGCGCAGUGUUUUUGUAUUGUGCUUGAUGACAGCGCUGAUGCAGAGCAGGCAACAGAUGGCACACAGACAGCAGAGUUGGGGACAGAUAUGCAGGGACAGACUGGCAGAGACAGGG